CUGGGCUCAACUGGGCUGGAAAGAAGCUAAAGGACCAGACAAAACAAAAAAAAGCUUUUAAAGAGAUGGUGCUCUGCAGGUGCAUGUUUGGUUCACUCACCCUCAUCCUCAGUCAAGUCAGCUGGGCUCGCUCACCUGCCCUCUCCCCUUGGGCUUCCCCCACGGCGUCCUCCCGGCUCUCCCUCGUGCCUUCCUAGUCAGCCUGCCACCACACUCCUCCACCAACCCCCUGAUCAGUUCUCCCGUGCAUCCUCUGUUCCACGGCCCCCAGUGUCCCUCAGCUCUCUGGUCUCAGUCUCCUCGGUUCCCCGUGCCUGCAUUUCCCUGGCAUCCACCUCUCCCUGAACUCCAGUCCCUUAACCCCUUCUUUCCCCUAAUAAAAGCUGUUAAUCCCCAGA